UUUGCCUGGGGCAAAAUGCAUAGACAUACAUCAGAUGUGUUUUUUGUUUAAAUUGGCUUGUAUAUCAGUGUGACUGUGCAGGGAGGAAGCUUUUAAAGGUAGUACUGNAUUUGUUUCUUAAAAAGAGCCUUAAUCAAGCCUUCCAUUUAAAGUUAUACAAGAUGCCAUGGAAGGCUAAUUAAUAGUAUGACCGAAAGAACUGGAAUUAGUAAGAAUAACAAAAAUCAUACAGGAAGAUUUCACAAUGGGAUUGCGAUCAUAUCCCUGCAUCACUGCUGGGUGACUAAAGGCAUGGAAUUCACAGCUGUCUAUUUUUUUGGGGUGCGGGCAAGGAGUACUAUCAAUGGCUAAGGCUGUAUCCACAUGACAUCUACGGAGCUAAGCCAAGAGAUGCUUCUGCCUUCUUUUGGCUCCUGUAUAGCAAUGAGAGCUGCCCUUCAGGAAGCCUGAG
rnacentral:lncRNA from 1 species